GCGGGCGUGGCGGAACUGGCAGACGCGCCAGGUUUAGGUCCUGGUGUCGAGAGACGUGGGGGUUCGAGUCCCCCCGCCCGCA
rnacentral:tRNA from 1 species